rnacentral:rRNA from 1 species
GACGAACGCUGGCGGCGUGCUUAACACAUGCAAGUCGAACGGAAAGGCCCUGCUUUUGUGGGGUGCUCGAGUGGCGAACGGGUGAGUAACACGUGAGUAACCUGCCCUUGACUUUGGGAUAACUUCAGGAAACUGGGGCUAAUACCGGAUAGGAGCUCCUGCUGCAUGGUGGGGGUUGGAAAGUUUCGGCGGUUGGGGAUGGACUCGCGGCUUAUCAGCUUGUUGGUGGGGUAGUGGCUUACCAAGGCUUUGACGGGUAGCCGGCCUGAGAGGGUAACCGGCCACAUUGGGACUGAGAUACGGCCCAGACUCCUACGGGAGGCAGCAGUGGGGAAUCUUGCACAAUGGGCGGAAGCCUGAUGCAGCAACGCCGCGUGCGGGAUGACGGCCUUCGGGUUGUAAACCGCUUUCGCCUGUGACGAAGCGUGAGUGACGGUAAUGGGUAAAGAAGCACCGGCUAACUACGUG